UUGACGUCACUCGACCACUGCGUUUGCGCUUGUGGCCACCGCGGCCGCUGCGGGACGACUGCCUAGAUCAGCCACGGCUCCUUCCCCUCUUGGCAUGAUGACUGCUGCUGCCAGGGGAGUGACUUCGCG
rnacentral:lncRNA from 1 species